rnacentral:lncRNA from 1 species
CAGUGCUGCAGGGAAAGGAGGUGGGGCCAGUAGGGGGAGGUGGGCUCGGGCCUCGUCUUUCCGCUUUUCGGCCAAUCCGUGCAGCGCCCCUGACAGAGACGCGGAGCCCGGUGCAGCAGACAGUUCAACUAUUUUCCCCUUUUCUGCCACGUCCCAACCAUUGACGCGAGCCCACUCUUCGAGUUGCGAUUGGGUGUGUCCAUUUUCCCCCCUGCAGAGGCUGCUGGCAUUUAUUGGACAGCACUGCCUAGGGGGCGGGGCUUACGUGCUCGCCCCGCCUCCACCGCGGCGCGAGGGGCGGGGCACGCCGCUGCCGCCUCUGCUUCCGCCGCCGCCGCCUGCCGCUGCGCGCUCGGCGGGGGAGGAGUCGGAGGCGGAGAAGAAGGCGGUGGUGGCGGGUGGCGGAUCGAGCGCCGUUCGCGUUCCGGAGCCGCUUCGCGUUUCGCUCGGGCCGCAGACCCCCUGGAGGAACCACAGGAUGGUUCUCCGCCGCUGGCGCCGCUGCAUCCAUCCCCCUUCCGGUUGGCGACGCCUGUCAGCGCCCGCCUGGCAGAUGCACCUUCAGUUUUGGCCUCCUUAGAAUUACUGCGUGUUAGUCGUUUUGCGCACAUUCAAAAUGACAUGCAAGCCUGAUGUAAAAUUUAACGAUAUAAAUAAAGAACUACGAGGUAAAACGUGAACAUUUCUUUUCAUUCUUCAGACCCACUCCAGUAUCUAGAUUUAACAAUUUAAUGUUCAUCUUUCAGAGUCGUUUUACAAAUUUACUUUUAAACACACACAUAUACAUGCAAAGGUGUUUUUCGUUUUGCGCAGGCGGUAUACCAAGCAUAUUUCUAUGUCACUUGCUUUGUUACUUAACUGUAUUUCUUGAACAUUCUUCAUUACAUGUAGAUCUCUAACAGUUUUUAAAGGCUAAUGAUGUUUCAUCAGUUUGAAUGGCUUCAUUUGACCAUUCCCUAUUGAAAGACAUUUACGUUAAUUGAUUUUUGAUUUUGCGAUUACAACUAAUGCUGUAUGGGGCCAGGAAUUUAGCUCAGCGGCACCAGUGCAUGCCUGGCAAGUGCAAGGUCCUGAGUUCCAUUCCUGGUACCAAAAAAAAAAAAAAAUGCCGCAACAAGUAAUGCUGCGUAAUAGACACAACUUUCUAACUUAUUAAUUGAUGCUUAAUUAUAAACCUUAAAUCCUUGAUUUUAAAAUAUUAAACAUUCUUUAUAAAAAGACUGUAAGUAAAAAAAUACAACUUCCAUUUCCCUUCCUUGUCAUACUUACAUCCCAAGAGUCAGUGUUGAGCAAGUCAGUAAACUUGCCGUCUGUGUGAAUAUUUCUGGGGCAUGGAUUCCUAGAAAUGGAAAUGGAAUUGGAAUUGCUUAAAGGGAUGCGUAUUUUAAAUUUUGAUAGCCGUUUAUCCCUUCUUAUUACUCUUUUCAAAAAUAUUCUCGACUCUUGGGCAUUCUUCCGGAUGAACGUUAGACUCAAUUUGUAGUUUGAAUUUUUUAAAACACUCAGCUAUUUUGAAUGAGGUUAUAUUGAAAUUUUAGAUUAAUUUGGAGAGCACUGAGUCCUCUUCCCAGGUCCACAGAGAUGUCACCAUUUUAUGUCUUGCGCUGUAUUCUUGGGGAAAGUUUAUCUCCCCACCCCAAUUGUGUGCAGUUCCUUCUCCAUAGUCUAGCUACUCAAUGGUACUAGAAAUUGUUCUUUCUCCUUUCUCUUAAGAGAGAGAGCUCUUGCUCUUGCUGUCUUCUAACUAUGGGAUAGCUUUUGAAUUUUCCUGUUAUCAUGUAAUAUUUUGAGUUGGUAGUUAUCUGAAAAUAUUCAGAGUUUUGUAGUUGGCUUUACAGUUUUUGUAACGUUUUUCUCCUUGCUUUGGCCGUUAUACACUGUACAAUGCUGAAUAGUAGCACUAUUGGCCAAAUCUUGGUAUUGUUUCUGACUUCAAGGGGAGUGCUUCUGAUGUCUUAGUAUGAACGAUGAUGCUUCCCAAAACUUUCUGAUAAACUGCCAAUAUUAAAGUAAAAUAUUUUCUUCUAUUCUUGGCUUUCCAAGAUAAUUUUAUGUUUUCAUUUUUGUUUACAUUUUUAAAAGCUGUAAAUAGUUACCAUUUCCUUAGAUUUUCUUUGACAUCUUUUGAGGUAGUUAUACACUCAUAACAGCAGUAUUCCCUGGUUAAUAGUUCCCUAAUAGAGUGUCUUUUUUAAAAAAAAAGAAGAUAUGGAGGAUAACUUAGAUAUGCCGAAAUAUUUAUUUAAAUGUACAAUUCAUUUUGUUUUGACAAAUGUGUACUUUUUGCAUACUACACUCAAGAUGGAAAAUAUUUUAAUCUCUCUCAAAACUUCCCUUGUGCCCUUCUGCAGUCAAAUGUUCACCCUCAGACUCAGGAAACCACUUAUCUUUUGCUCACUAUAAAUUGUUUCAUUUGUUCUAGAAUUUCAUACAAAUACACUUGUGUUUAUAGAUAGACAUCUAUCUACCUAUAUAUAUAUAAGUGGUUUUUAUGGUCUUUGUUUUUGUUGUGGUUUGCUCUUGAGACAGGGUCUUGCUGUGUAGUUCAGGCUGGCCUCAAGUUCACAGCAAUCCUUCUGCCUCAUCCACCUGAGUGCUGGGGUACAGGCAUGCAUCACCAUGCCCAGUGUAAUAUAUACACUUUUGCAUCUCAUUUUUCUCAGCCUGAUUUUUUUUUUGAGGAUCAUGUUGUGAUUUUUUUUUUUAAUUGGCUGAUCUCUGUUGUUGAGUAGUCUGUGAUUCUGAUUUACUUCAAUUUUUUGCUUAUAUCCUCUGUUUAUGGAUAUGUGGGUUAUUUCCAGUUUGGGAUUCUUAAUAAAGUUGCUAUGAACGUUCUUUCUGCGUUCUUGUGUGAAUAUGUUCUUACUGUUUUUGGUAAAUGCCUGCAAGCAGAAUAUGCAAGCUUGCGUGGUAAGUGAAUGUUUAAAUAAGAAAGUGCCAGACUUUUUCCAAAGUGGUGGUUCUGUUGUACUUGUCCACCAGUAUGAAAUUCCAGUUGCGCCCCCCCCCAUCCUCAUUAACACUUAGCUGUUUUAGCCUUUUUAAUGUUAGCCCUUCCGGUGGGUGUGUCACAGUGUCACACUGUGAUUUCAGCUUGCGUUUGCCUGAUGACUGAUGGCACUGAGAAUUUGUUCAUGUGAGUGUUUUCAUUCUAAAGUCUUUCUUCAGACCUUUGGGCCAUCUUUAAAAGUUAGGCAGUUUGUCUUCCUGAGUUUUGAGAAUUUUGUAUACAUUCUUUUUUUUUUUUUUGUAUACAUUCUUUAUAAAAUUCCUUUGACAGAUACGGAUCCAUAAACGUUGUGAUGAAACUUUACUAUAAAAGACAGGAACUUUACAAUUAAAUUUGAUUUAUCCAUAAUUUAUGGUUUGUGCUCCUGUGUUCUUAGAAUUACUUCCCCAGCGCAGAGUUGUGCAGGUUUUCUUUUGUUUCUUUUUACAGGUUUUACAGUUUUGGCUUUUAUGUCACGGUCUGGUACUGUUUUUGGCUUUGUGUGUGGUGUGGUAAGGAUGGAGGCUUGUUUUUUCAAAUGGUCGUGUAGUUCUUUUAGUGCUGCUUGUUAGGAACACUUUCCUUGUAUUAAAUUUGCUGAGAGUCAUUGGGCUUAUAUGUGUAUUUGUUUCUGGACUGUUCCUUUGAUCCUUGUGCUUAUUAUACUUUUGCUAAUACUGCAUUGCCAUGGUUGUUUUUACUUUAUAGUAAGUCUUGAAAUCAGGAAUUCUUAAGCUGUAUUCCUUUUAAAAAUCACUUCGGUUAUUCUGGUUCUUUUGCAUUCCCAUGAAACUUAAAGGCAUCUUGGACUGUGUUGAGUGUAUAGAUCAAUUUAGGAAGAAAUUAACAUCUUUUAUCAACAUUUUGUACUUCAACAUAGUUAUUGUUGGGCAUUUUGUUAGAUUUAUGACUAAUGUUCAUAAUUUUAUGCUAUUAUAAAUAACUCUUAAAUUUCUGUAUUCAGUUGUUAAACUGCUGCACAAGCAAUCCAAUCUUUUUGUUGCAUAUUGACCUUCAAUUUGCAGUUUACUAAGCUCACUUAUUCUAGCAGGAUUUUUUUUGCAGAGCCUUUGGAAUUUCCUUAGUCAUGUUAUUUGCAAAUACAGUGUUCAGAUAUUUUAAAAUUUGAAUGUUAACCCUCUCGCCUUUUUCCCUUAGUAUAUUGGUAAGUGCUCCAGCUUGAUGUUGAAGAGGUACAGUGAGAGCAGAUGUCCUUGCCUCGUACUGUAUCUGAUUUUAAGAGGAAAGUUUCUAGUUUUUCAUUAGUAAGUGCGAUAGAGUGAUGCUACAGACUCUUUUUGUUCUCAGAAUUCACAUGGUGAAACCUGAUUUCAGGUGCAAGCAUAUGUAGGGGAGGUUGAGGUUAUUAGAUCUUAAAUGGAUUAGUGCCCUUUUAAAAGAAGCCCCAGAGAGUGCCCUUUCCCCAUUCCACCUUGCAGCAAUGAGAAAACAGAGAAAAGACUGCCGUGCAAGAACCAAAAAGCAGCCCUUCACCCAGACUGAAUUCACGGGCAGCUUGAGCUUGAACUUCUUAGCCUCCAGACUAUGAAAACUAAAUAUCUGCCAUAUAGAAACAACCCAGGCCAUCUAGCUUGUUAUAGCAGCCUUCAUGGAAUAAAGCAAAUGGUCUUUUAUUAAGUACGUUGUCAUUCUGUUCUUGGAUUGCUCAGUGUUGCAGUUAUGGGUAGAUGUUGAGUUGGGUCAAAUGUUUUUAUUGAGGGAUCAUGUGCUUUAUUUUACAAGUUAAUUUUCAAAUGUAGAGUUAAGCUUUUCUUGGUGAUGGUAUUUUUUCAUUUUUUUAAAUUGGUGGAUACAUUUGUUUCUAUUUUUUGAAGGUUUCUCCUUUUCUUCAUCCAACUCCCUCCCUCGUCCAUUUUUGCAUGUGUGUUACAAAGGAUACCAUUUCGUAGAAUUCUUUGUGUUAGGUUUAUGCUGACUUCACAAGUUGGAGAGUGUUUCUUGUUAUAUUUCUAAAAAAAUGUAUGUAGAAUUAGUGUUGUUCUACAAAUGUUUACUAUAGUUUGUACUAACUUUUCUGAGCCUAAGAUUUUCUUUAUUGGAAGGUUUUAAAGUGUAAAUGCAAUUACUUUAAUAGGCAAAGCAUUGAUAGAGUUAUCUAUUUUUUUAAAAACUUUCAGUCUUUGACAGUGAUUCACUUCCACACUUUUAUGAGCAUUUUUUGUCUUUAAAGAAAUUUAUCUGUUUCAUUCAAUCGUUGCCAUAAGGUUGUAUCUUAACUAUCUUUUAAUAUCUGUGGCAUCGGUAGUGAUGUCUUCUCAGUUGUUCCUCAUAUUAGCAGUAUGUCUUUCAUCUUUAUUAGUUUGAUUUUAAGUUUAUCAUUAUCAAUUUUAUUAAUCUUUAUGAAGAACCACCUUUUAUUUGACUAUUUUUUUGUUUUUAGUUUGGUUGAUUGCUACUCUUUACUAUUGCUUUCUGUAUGCUUUGAGUUCAAAUUCCUCUAUGUUAAUUUCUUAAACUUAAGUCAUUUACUUCUUAAUCUUAAGUCACUGAUUUAAGACUAAUUUUAUUCUAAGCACUAUUGUAGAUAUUCACACA